rnacentral:rRNA from 1 species
GACGAACGCUGGCGGCGUGCUUAACACAUGCAAGUCGAGCGGUAAGGCCCUUUCGGGGGUACACGAGCGGCGAACGGGUGAGUAACACGUGAGCAACCUGCCCUUCUCUUUGGAAUAAGCGUUGGAAACGACGUCUAAUGCCGAAUAUGACCCUUCACUGCAUGGUGGGGGGUGGAAAGCUCUGGCGGAGAAGGAUGGGCUCGCGGCCUAUCAGCUUGUUGGUGUGGGUAAUGGCCCACCAAGGCGACGACGGGUAGCCGGCCUGAGAGGGUGACCGGCCACACUGGGACUGAGACACGGCCCAGACUCCUACGGGAGGCAGCAGUGGGGAAUAUUGGACAAUGGGCGAAAGCCUGAUCCAGCAACGCCGCGUGAGGGAUGACGGCCUUCGGGUUGUAAACCUCUCUCAGCAGGGACGAAGCGAGAGUGACGGUACCUGCAGAAGAAGGACCGGCCAACUACGUGCCAGCCGCCGCAGUAAAAC